rnacentral:rRNA from 1 species
AUCUUGAAUGAUAAUAAGAUGUAAAAUCUGCUCAAUGAUUUUUUUUUUUAAAUUGCUGUGGUAUUUUAACUAUACGAAGGUAUUGAAAUAAGAUUUUAAAUGAGUGCUAAGAGAAUGAUUAAACAAUUAUAGACUUUCUUUAAUUAAAUAAUUAAAUUUAAUUUUUUAGUGCAAAAUCUAAAAUAAAAUUUAGGGACAAGAAGACCCUAUGAAUUUUUUAUUUUAUAUAAAUUAUAAUUUAAUUUUAUAAAAUUUAAUUGGGGCGAUAGAAAAAGAAUAAAUAUCUUUUUUAAUAUAAAAAUUAGUUCCGUUUUUAGCGAUUAAAUGAAAAAAAUACUCUAGGGAUAACAGCGUAAUAAUUUUGGAUAGUUCAUAUAGAUAAAAUAGUUUGCGACCUCGAUGUUGGAUUAGGAUUCUUUUUCGGUGAAGAAGUUGAGAAAAAGAAGUUUGUUCAACUUUUAAAUUCCUACAUGAUCUGAGUUCAGACCGGCGU